AUUACCGUGGAGCAAUCGUAGUACAUUGUGUUUUUUAUCCGUAUAAAUCAUCUGACCUCAUUCUAACAUCAUACUUGGUGCGGAUGUUAUUGAAAGAAAAAUGCGCACCUGCUUGAAAGUGAUUUCUCUUUGGAUUCUAUUAGCAACCGCGAACCUAAUUUACUCUGAAAAAUGCAGCGCAUCGACGAUGGCGGAUAUAGUGUUCAUGUUGGACGGGUCUGGAACGGUUGGCGAUGCGGGCUUCCAGUCCGCUACGGCGUUCAUGUCGCGAUUUGUUGACCUUUUCAACAUAGGCCCAUCCCACACGCAGAUUGGGGUCAUGAUUUAUUCGAACCAGAUUACGUUCCCAAUACUUUUAAAGUCUUAUUCGGACGCAACCGAAUUAAAAAAUGCAAUAAACGGAAUAAGUCGCACUGGUCACUAUCUCAGCUAUCCCGAUGGCAGCGAGGAUACUACUGCAGCCCUUAGGGCAGCUGAUGUCUACCAUGUUCAUAGAAACCAAUGGCAAGAGGAGCAACGCUACACAAGUUGUUAUUAUUGUCACCGACGGUGCGGCUGACUCAUAUACUGUUGCCGAGGCAAACUAUGUGAAAAGCAAAAUGCGUCGUGAUCUACGUAGCGUCUGUGACUACGAACUCCGGCGGAAUCAUGGAUCAAGUGGCGUCCGGGAUAAAGUACUUAAUGUCGGCCUCUGACUACAGCAGUCUGCCAAUGCUAGUGGGACCAUUGUCUGCGGCCGCGUGUGAGGCACUCUACACCUGCCUUCCAACCACGUGUCAGAAUGGCGGCACGUGUCACGUGGGCAGUACGGCCUACAGCUGUGAGUGUCCCGCCAUAUACACCGGCUUGCACUGCGACCUAUCUGAGUUGGUGAAUAAAGACACGCACUUUAUCUUGAUGCUGAUUUUUGUGUGCAAAGUUCUUUAUGGCCCUCUGCUUCUUUAUACAUUCCGCUUACAUGUUUAAAUGAACUUAAAAUGUAUGGUAAUGGUGCAUAAAUCUAUUGAUGCGAACAUCAUACGAGUCUUGUUCUGAGAAAACUGGGCUUUAUUCAUGUUCGUAAAGUGUCGUCCCAGAUUAGCCUGUGCAGUUCGCACAGGCUAAUCAGGGACGACACUUUCCACUUUUAUGGUAUUUUUAGUUUCAAGGAAGUACCUCCAUGCCGAAAAUCAAGUUUAGGCGGGAAGUGUCGUCCCUGCUUAGCCUGUGCGUACUGCACAGGCUAAUCUGGGACGACACUUUACGCACAUGUAUUAUGCCCAGUUUUAUCAGAACAUAACACAUAUGUGCUUUCUGUACGUCUCUGUUUACUAGCAAUAUGUUCCGUUAGUCCGUGUGGAAAUAGCGGCCAGUGCAAUAUCGAAGGUAACACAUGGACAUGCACGUGCUAUGCUGGAUACACUGGGUCAACCUGUUCUACUAGUACGUGCGAUAACAUGCAUUAUAUAUUUGUUUAUG